rnacentral:rRNA from 1 species
UACGAGGGGUGCAAGCGUUGUUCGGAAUCAUUGGGCGUAAAGCGGGUGUAGGUGGCCAUAUAAGUCAGGGGUGAAAGCCCAGGGCUCAACCCUGGAAGUGCCUUUGAUACUGUAUGGCUUGAGUGUGGGAGAGGGUGCUAGAAUACCUGGUGUAGUGGUGAAAUACGUAGAGGUCAGGUGGAACACCGGCGGUGAAGACGGGUGCCUGGCCCAACACUGACACUCAGACCCGAAAGCGUGGGGAUCAAACAGG